CUUUAAGACACCCAGUACUGAUCAGUGACUGACCAGUCCUUUCACAGACACUGACACAGGCAGCAUUAUGAUGAUGUCAAACGUUAUACUGCUGGUGACGCUGGGACUCCUUGUACAGGAAUCAAUGGCAGAUAUAGUUCUGACUCAGGAUCCAGCAGCUCAGUCUGUUCAGCUGGGAGACACUGUCUCUAUCAGCUGUACAGCCAGUCAGGGCGUUUACAGUAGUCCCUACCACUACCUCCACUGGUACCUGCAGAAACCUGGUCAGGCUCCUAAACUUCUGAUUUAUUAUGCCACAACACGCCAGUCUGGGAUUCCUGAUCGUUUCAGUGGGAGUGGAUCUGGGACUCAGUUCACACUGAAAAUCACUGGAGUCCAGGCUGAAGAUGCAGGAGAUUAUUACUGUCAGCAGAGAUAUAGCUCGCCGACACAGUGAUACAGAGCCGUACAAAAACCUCCCUCAGUCAGUCUGCACAGAGACUGCACUGCUGCAGCUGGGACCUACUGCAGGUGCUGAGGGGGGAGUCACUGAUCUGGAACACUGAGCUACAGUGGAUAUUAUGAAAUGAUUUAUACUCUCAAAUCAAAUGAUUACCAUAUAUUUUCAUUUCAGUGUAUCCAAACUUUUAAUUAAGAAUGUAAUGUGGUAGAAUUUCCAAUGACUUUGCUUUAUAAUCUCUCCCUGGGCAGUUGAUAUUUGUUGUUCUGAAGCAGUGCACUGACCUAAUAUAUCACAAUUCUAAAUGAAUUCAUUCUGAAAAGGUUU